CCCUCUCCCUAUAACCAUAAAACUUCUCCCUCAAAAAGUCGCCACCAUAACCAAACCCUCAAAAAAAAAAUAAUUUCACCAAAAAUGCUCAGAGCCCUCCAAAAUUAAAAAUCCGAAAAAACCCUAGUUCAGAGAGAGAGAGAGAGAGAGAGAGGGAGGGAGGGAGGGGGAGGGGCUCAUCUAUAGCUAUAUCUACAUAUCUAAAUAAUAGUGCAGGCAAUGGAUUCAGAUCAGGGAAAGCUAUUUAUUGGAGGGAUUUCAUGGGAGACGUCAGAGGAGAAGCUCGGGGAAUAUUUUACGCAAUACGGCGACGUUUUGCAGACUGUCGUUAUGAAAGAUAAGACCACUGGUAGGCCUAGAGGCUUUGGCUUUGUCGUUUUUGCAGACCCUUCCGUUCUCGAUAGGGUUCUUCAAGAUACGCACACUAUUGAUGGUAGAACGGUUGAGGCAAAGAGGGCAUUAUCAAGAGAGGAGCAGCAAACGAAUGCCAGGGCUGGAAACUUGAAUCCUGCUAGAAACACCAGCAGUGGUGGAAAUAUUCGGACCAAAAAGAUAUUUGUUGGAGGAUUGCCUCCUACUCUAACUGACGAUGGGUUUCGCCAGUAUUUUGAAGCCUUUGGCCUUGUAACUGAUGUAGUAAUAAUGUACGACCAGAGCACCCAGCGACCUCGUGGAUUUGGUUUUAUUUCCUUUGAUUCUGAAGAUGCAGUUGACCGGGUGUUACAGAGAACAUUCCACGAUUUGAAUGGUAAGCAAGUUGAAGUAAAACGAGCUCUUCCUAAAGAGGCCAAUCCUGGUGGGGGUGGCCGCUCUAUGGGUGGCAGUUACCAGAGCUACGGUGCAUCUGGUGGCAACACAAACUCAUAUGAUGGUCGAAUGGAUUCAAGUAGGUACAUGCAGCCUCAAGGCACUGGAGGUGGUUUUCCUCCUUAUGGGUCAUCUGGCUAUAAUGCAGCUGGAUAUGGAUAUGGUCCUGCCAGUAAUGGUGUUGGUUAUGGUGGCUAUAGCAGCUAUACUGGAGCUGGUGCUGGUUAUGGGGGACCUGCGGGUGCGGUCUAUGGGAAUCCUAAUGUUCCAAAUCCUGGCUAUGCAAGCGGUCCUCCUGGGGCACCCAGAAGUUCAUGGAACAGUCAAGGUUCAUCUGGCUAUGGUGCUAUGGGUUAUGGGAGUGCUGCUUCUUGGGGUGCUUCAAAUGCUAGUGCUGGCAGUGGUCCUGGUUCAGCGUCUGCUGGUCAAUCUCCUGGUGGGGCCACUGGGUAUGGGAGUCAAGGUUAUGGGUACGGUAGUUAUGGUGGAAAUGAUGGAUCUUAUGUGAAUCCAGUUGGGUAUGGUGCUGUUGGAGGACGUUCUGGGGGCACUUCAAACAGUAAUGCUGGUGGUCCUGGCGGGGCAGAACUACAGGGUAGCGGCGGCGGCUACAUGGGGAGUGGAUAUGGUGAUGCAAAUGGAAAUUCUGGGUAUGGAAAUGCAUCAUGGAGAUCAGAGCAACCACAAACUUCUGGAAAUUAUGGGGGUCCUCAAGCAAAUGGUCCUGGUGGUUAUGGUGGCGGUUAUGGUGGUUCUCAGGCCCGACAAGCCCAACAACAGUGAUUGUGAACACCUUAGCUGCCUACCAGGUCUUCAUCUCUGUUUGUGAGCAAGCAUGUCCAGCUGUUCUCAUGAGGUUCUCUGAAGAUUUCUUGCUCCCAGCACCAGGGGAGUGGCUCAAAUUGGAUGAUGCACUUUGGGAAUGGAGGAGAUGCUCGAGUUCUAAGGUGAGGUCAAAGGGUCCACUCAUGGCUGAACCCGAGCUUCCUAGUGGGGGUUUGUUCAGCAUGGAAGUGUGAAGAGGACUUGUCAGUUGGAUUUGUGAUUAACCCAAGAAAAGCUUUUCCGGCUAGCAAUGCCAACACUGCCACAUGUUUUUUUUGCAGAUUCUUGGCAUUUGAAGUCGUAAAUUUCUCAAUCAUUCUGGUUUCUUGUGGACUGAUGGAUUUGUUAGACAGGGAGCUUGCGGUAUGUUGACUUAAUUAGUUAGCUGUGUUACAUGGCAAGUUCCUAUUACCUAAUUGUUUAGGCCACAUAGUUAUGCGCUGGACUAGAUAAUGUGUCAUUCCAAUUGCUUAGAGCACCAGAUAAGUUAUCAAUCGAAAACUUUAGUUGAUCUUGGAA